rnacentral:rRNA from 1 species
UCUGUCCGAGCGUCGGCUUAUAAACUAUCACUGCGCGUAAAAAGCAGUGGCUUGGAAGAUUGCCAGCUAACGCAGGCCGUGUAGUGUAAGGUGGUGGCGGCGGCGGCAGACAACGACGACUUCUUCUUCAUGUUGUUGAUACGGCGGUGGCGGCGGCGGCGGCGACGACGAUGAUCUCGUGGUAGCAUCCCGGUUGCCACCAGAUGAUAGUUGUUGUCUUUCUUCCACCACCACCACCACCAAAUGUUGAGGAGUGUUGAUGAUGUCAGUAGUGGAGGAGCGCCGCUUUUGGCAACAACGAGUACUCAACCAGCNGCUGAGUAUUAGUGCUUGCUAAUAAUGACUNUAGACGACAGCAAGUAGUCGGACGACAUGAUGUUGUUGGUCGUCGUCGUUGUUGGUGCUGCUGCUGCUGCUGCUGCAGCUGCUUUGAUGUGGCCUAAUGUGUGCCUGACCUCGGUUCAGUCGUGAG